GACGAACGCUGGCGGCGCGCUUAACACAUGCAAGUCGAACGGAAAGGCCCUGCUUUUGUGGGGUGCUCGAGUAGCGAACGGGUGAGUAACACGUGAGUAACCUGCCCUUGACUUUGGGAUAACUUCAGGAAACUGGGGCUAAUACCGGAUAGGAGCUCCUGCUGCAUGGUGGGGGUUGGAAAGUUUCGGCGGUUGGGGAUGGACUCGCGGCUUAUCAGCUUGUUGGUGGGGUAGUGGCUUACCAAGGCUUUGACGGGUAGCCGGCCUGAGAGGGUGACCGGCCACAUUGGGACUGAGAUACGGCCCAGACUCCUACGGGAGGCAGCAGUGGGGAAUAUUGCACAAUGGGCGGAAGCCUGAUGCAGCAACGCCGCGUGCGGGAUGACGGCCUUCGGGUUGUAAACCGCUUUCGCCUGUGACGAAGCGUGAGUGACGGUAAUGGGUAAAGAAGCACCGGCUAACUACGUG
rnacentral:rRNA from 1 species